rnacentral:lncRNA from 1 species
UUGCACCACUGCACUCCAGCCUGGGCGAUACAGUGAGACCCAGUCUCAAAAAAAAAAAAAAAAGAGUCUUUUUUGAUGGUGGACAUCUUCCAAUGAGCAUUCACAUGGGACAGAUUUUUUUUUAGUUCUACCGUUGUUCUGAAAGCUCUAUGUAUGUUCCUCUUCCCUAAAAAUCUUUGUCACCAAGCCUCCAGAUUUAUUCCUUCUAAAAUGUUGAAAUUCCAGCUAAUUCCUUAGUUGUUACCCAGGAAACAAUGCAGAUCCUGGUCCGAGGAUGCAGCUCCUUCCAGGCAGCCUGGACUGUGAGGUGUGCUCCAUUGCUCUUCAGGAACCGUCCUUGAGAGGCGUUCCACAGCAGGCCAGACCUGGGGGGAGCAGGUGGGCCAGGCGGAAAGCACAGCACAAUUUGAGAGAUGCUGAGUACUCAUGACUCUGUGUAAGCACCUGAAUUCAGCCCUCAUGGUCUUUUCUGAGCUGUCAGUCAUUUAUCUCUAUUUAGUCAUUUUGCGAAUUGGAGUUAGCUUCCUUCCCUCUACACUCAAAGACGGCAUGUCAACAUUUUAGGCCUCUGGGUGGAAUGAACUCCCAGUUUCCUGGGAGGGAGCUGAUUGGCAUCUAUUCGCCUCUUCCUAGUUUUGUGGGGUUUCCCAGCAUGUGGAGUCAUAGAGAAAGACUGGUCCCACCUUCUAUGUAAUGCCCAAGAGAAUAGAUGACUCUCUGUCCACCCCCACCCUGGCAUCCAGGGCUUCUGGACAAGACCUAGGCUGGCUAAUUGGCUGCUUCCACAUGGGAUCCUGAAUCUGGAGCAAGUGAGGCAAAGCCCAGGGUGCUUAGAAUCCAUUCUCAGUGAGAGCAGCAGGACUGCCCGGGAGGGGAAUAGAGACGGGGACGACCGAGUCCUGCACCAGCAGAGAUGACGUCCGCAGGUGGCGGGGCAGCGCUGUGGCCGUGUCACUCCUCACAAAGCAGGGCUCUUGUGCUCGCAGCCUUCGAUACCGUCUCACUGUCUUGGCUUCUAUUUAUCUUCCAAGCCAAUUUCCAGCCUCCUACACACGUGGGGUUCUUCUGGUAUCAUUCCAGUGAAUUUCAUGUUGUUUUCUGCCCUAAGAAAACAGAGUUGGUACCUCUGCUCGACCAAGAAGCCUGAUUGAUACAGACUGAGAGCUGCAGGCUGUGUUUAUUUGCUUCAUUAACAAGAACAACUUAGGAAUGGCAACUUCCAUUGAUGAGCUUCCUACUUUGUUCUGCGGUUGGAAAACAAACAGUUGUUUCCCUGUUGACGACUGGCCACACUGGAGAGGUGAACAGUUCACUCUCAAGGCCAUACUGACUUGAACACUGGCUGUCUAGAAACAGAGAGGCAGGCAGCGGCAGACAGGAAGAGAGAUGGAGCAGAGUCCUCCAGCGGGAGCUGCACCUCGGAAGCAUCCUUAGAUGCGGCUUGGAGUUGGGAUCCUUCAAUUCCCCUCAGGAGAGUCAGCCAAAAAUAUCAACAGCCACAAUUUAUUGGACGCCUUCAGGAGAAAUGUCAAAGGCCUUUGUCCAAAGAAAAACAUUAACAUCUGCCAUUUUUCUAAAUUGAAUGUGAAAGAUGAUCCUGACAGGCUGAACAAAGAUGCUUGCUCUCUGUUGUGAUGUUUGACAAGGGAAUCUUCCUUCAUUUUCUCCUCUGAUGAGCCUCUCUACCAGAUAAGCAGCAGCAGGAACCAAACGUUUAAGAAAAAUGUAAAGACAUUAUUUUGUCCAUCACUUAACAUUUUUAUGAACAAGUUGGGAGGUAGCCUGCAUGAAUGCCUCUGUGCAAUGGAAUGAAUGGCCGGAGAUCUCACCAUCCCAGGAUGACUUUGGGGAAGGAAGACCCAAACAGCCCACUAUCACAUGCUGUCCUGCCUGCCUCAGGCCUCCUGUCCUUCUCUCCCUUGUGACCUGCAAACUAACCUUGAGGACUCAUGUCAACUGUCACUGCAUUGGAAGCCCUCUGUGAUAGUUAAUAUUGAGUGUCAACUUGAUUGGAUUGAAGGAUGCAAAGUAUUGUUCCUGGGUGUGUCUGUGAGGGUGUGG